GGUAACGCGCCGGAAGAACGGAUAACUUUGAUGAUGUUAAAUAUGAGUGUCCAACUCCGUUACCU
rnacentral:tRNA from 1 species